ensembl:snRNA U6 U6 spliceosomal RNA
AUGCUCAUUUUGGUAUCACAUAUACUAAAAUUGGAACGAUACAGAGAAGAUUAGCAUGGUCCCUGCACAAGGAUAACACACAAAUUCAUGAAGGGUUCCAUUUUUAA